rnacentral:rRNA from 1 species
CAACUAUACUGUGAAACUGCGAAUGGCUCAUUAAAUCAGUUAUCGUUUAUUUGAUAGUAACCUACUACAUGGAAUACCUGUGGAAAAUCUAGAGCUAAUACAUGCGCCAGCCUCGACUCCGGAAGAGGUGUGUUUAUUAGAUAAAAAGCCAACGCCCUUCGGGGCUCCUUGGUGAUUCAUGAUAAUCUUUCUGAUCGCUAGGCCAUGCGCCCGCGACGGUUCAUUCAAAUUUCUGCCCUAUCAACUUUCGAUGGUAAGGUAUUGGCUUACCAUGGUUUCAACGGGUAACGGGGAAUUAGGGUUCGAUUCCGGAGAGGGAGCCUGAGAAACGGCUACCACAUCCAAGGAAGGCAGCAGGCGCGCAAAUUACCCAAUGUCGACUCGACGAGGUAGUGACAAUACAUACUGAUACAGGGCUCUUUUGGGUCUUGUAAUUGGAAUGAGUACAAUUUAAACCUCUUAACGAGGAACAAUUAGAGGGCAAGUCUGGUGCCAGCAGCCGCGGUAAUUCCAGCUCUAAUAGCGUAUAUAAAAGUUGUUGCAGUUAAAAAGCUCGUAGUUGAACCUUUGGCCUGGUGGGCGCGUCCGCCUCACCGCGUGCACGCGACCCGCCGGGCCUUUUCUUCUGGAGAACCGCAUGCCCUUCGCUGGGUGUGUUGGGGACCAGGACUUUUACUUUGAAAAAAUUAGAGUGUUCAAAGCAGGCCUUUGCUCGAAUACGUUAGCAUGGAAUAAUGGAAUAAGGACGUGCGGUCCUAUUUUGUUGGUUUCUAGGACCGCCGUAAUGAUUAAUAGGGACAGUCGGGGGCAUCAGUAUUCAAUUGUCAGAGGUGAAAUUCUUGGAUUUAUUGAAGACUAACUACUGCGAAAGCAUUUGCCAAGGAUGUUUUCAUUAAUCAGUGAACGAAAGUUAGGGGAUCGAAGACGAUCAGAUACCGUCGUAGUCUUAACCAUAAACGAUGCCGGCUAGGGAUCGGACGGUGUUUCUAUUGUGACCCGUUCGGCACCUUACGCA